UACGGAGGGUGCGAGCGUUGUCCGGAAUCACGUUGGGCGUAAAGGGCGCGUGAGGUGGCGCGGGCAGUCAACGGUGAAAGUUCGGGGCUCAACCCUGAAUCGGCCGUCGAAUACUCCCGUGCUUGGAGCACUGUAGAGGCAGAUGGAAUUCCGGGUGUAGCGGUGGAAUGCGUAGAGAUCCGGAAGAACACCGGUGGCGAAGGCGGUCUGCUGGGCAGUGCUGACACUGAGGCGCGACAGCGUGGGGAGCAAC
rnacentral:rRNA from 1 species